UACGUAGGGGGCAAGCGUUAUCCGGAAUUACUGGGUGUAAAGGGUGAGUAGGCGGCAUGGUAAGCCAGAUGUGAAAGCCUUGGGCUUAACCCGAGGAUUGCAUUUGGAACUAUCAAGCUAGAGUACAGGAGAGGAAAGCGGAAUUCCUAGUGUAGCGGUGAAAUGCGUAGAGAUUAGGAAGAACACCAGUGGCGAAGGCGACUUACUGGACUGUAACUGACGCUGAGGCAUGAGAGCAUGGGGAGCAAACAGG
rnacentral:rRNA from 1 species